CUUCCCGCAGCCGAAGGGAAAAGUAAGUGGAAGUGGAAUUGAUGAGAACGGUGGUCCAGAGAGGCACUGACAGCGAUUAUAUAUUUGAAAUUCACGGCAGAAUUCGAAAACAGGAUCGGAAGAGAAGAAAACACUUCGUGCUACAACGGGAUAAGCCGCAUACAAAACAUAUAUUUGCAACGACGAGCACAUUGCAAGAUACGCCGGGAACCCAUCGAAUGGAGUCAUUCAUCUGAAGCCUCAGGAUGCUCAAAAAUCUUAAAUCUUUUAAGAAAAUCUUUCAAUACUUUAUUAGAACUUCUGAGAAAUUUCCAUUUCCAUAUCCAACCUUUUCCUGUGAAGCCUAAACCGCAGGGCUUUCCCGGACACUCCUAGUGUCUUCGCUUACCAUCAUGUGUAAUUGAACUUCGCCUUAAAGGACAGAAACUUUUGCCGAUGCAACGGAUAAAACUGGCACGAAAUGCAUUAGGAGUUUGGUAAAGAUGGAUUUUUGGACGAAAAGCAGCUUUCGAAGUCACACCGAUGAAUAUCCUUUUCCGUAAGCAAACAGUCAUUUAUAACCAUUGUAGACGUGCGUUUCCACCUCAAGGAAGUUCUGGAAUUGCUGCACUGCCGCUGGGACUGAGAGUCAGUAGAGAGUAUUGGGGUAUAGUAACUAUUUUCAAAGCACAGAGAUCAGAAGCUCUUCCUUUGGCAGAACUCGUUGUACACUAGAAAACAUCAAAAGUAAGUUCUGGAAUUGGAGGAACUGGUGCAGUGGUCUGAUCGCAACGGAUUCUCAUUAAAGAACAAAGGGAGACAGUGCAUGCUGCAUGCUGUGCAUUCCAGAAUUCGACACCCAUACUUUCCAUCGUUAAAAUGACAAGGUGAGGCUCUGGCCAUGUCUUUGCCGCAAGCGGCUUGCAAUUGUGGCCAAUGCAACAACAGGAGCAGCAGGAACAGCUGGAACAGGAGGAGUAGCAGUAGUCUUUGUGCCUUGGCUACCAUCCAAGGGCAAGCAACAGCGAAGCAGCCGCCAAAGAUAUUAUCCUUCCUUUCCCCGGACCAGGGCCGCUUUUUGCUGCUGCCAUAAUGCCGCGCAAAUUGUUUUUUUUACACAUGUGCGCCCAACAUAUUAAAUUGUUUAUUGGGACAAGCCAUAAACAAAGAAGGACGUCAGCUCACGGGAAGAAAUACACUGAGAGAGCUUCUGGGAGAAGAAAAAUAGCAUUCUUCAGGCCUUAGAUAUUGUUUCUUUCAGUGAAGUGCUCGAGGACGCCUUCGGCACACUUUUGGCAUCCACUUCGAAGGGCUGUCAUCCACUUCCCGAAAAAAGCGACAAUUCGCAACGUGCCAAAAACAAUUUCAUGAUAUUUGAUGACAAUUUGAAUAGCAUCCCCAGGAAGUAGGGAACUCUGCUCAUUGAGGCUUAGCGAAAGUGUAUCCUGUCAAGGGAUAUUAUGCACCGAAAUUAUUGUAGUUGGCACCAAACAAACAACUUUUUGCCAAAGAAACACACAACACAAACAGGACCCCAGAGACGCUGCCAAAAGUCCUACUAAACCAAGUGGCAUGUUUGUCGCGAGGGGGUGCGGCGACACAAGGGGAGCAAUGACGACAAAUGAGUGGACUAUACUAAAUGAUAUUAAUUUAAAGCUAUGAUUUUAACAGACUUUAAUCUGGAUCCAUCUAUCCUGGCAAAGGACCACCGCAACGUUCAAGAAUUUCGUAUUAUUCAAUGAGAAGCCAAAAGAAAAAUCAGCUUUUAAUAGUUUUUUUACAUUUUGGGGUAAGAGGGAGACAAUAUGUAAAUAAAACUCUGACGCCAUUAAACACAUUUUUUCUGGUAGAAUUGGGUCU
rnacentral:misc_RNA from 1 species